AUUGAACGCUGGCGGCAUGCCUUACACAUGCAAGUCGAACGGCAGCACGGACUUCGGUCUGGUGGCGAGUGGCGAGCGGGUGAGUAAUGUAUCGGAACGUACCUUUCAGUGGGGGAUAACGUAGCGAAAGUUACGCUAAUACCGCAUAUUCUGUGAGCAGGAAAGCAGGGGAUCGCAAGACCUUGCGCUGAUUGAGCGGCCGAUAUCAGAUUAGCUAGUUGGUGGGUAAAGGCCUACCAAGGCUACGAUCUGUAGCGGGUCUGAGAGGAUGAUCCGCCACACUGGAACUGAGACACGGUCCAGACUCCUACGGGAGGCAGCAGUGGGGAAUUUUGGACAAUGGGGGCAACCCUGAUCCAGCCAUGCCGCGUGAGUGAAGAAGGCCU
rnacentral:rRNA from 1 species